GCAUAUCAAUAAGCGGAGGAAAAGAAACCAACAGGGAUUGCCUCAGUAACGGCGAGUGAAGCGGCAACAGCUCGAAUUUGAAAUCUGGCCCUUCCGGGUCCGAAUUGUAAUCUGUAGAGGACGCUUUUGGCGCGGUGCCUUCCGAGUUCCCUGGAACGGGACGCCACAGAGGGUGAGAGCCCCGUAUGGUCGGACACCAAGCCUCUAUAAAGCUCCUUCGACGAGUCGAGUAGCUUGGGAAUGCUGCUCUAAAUGGGAGGUAAACUUCUUCUAAAGCUAAAUACCGGCUAGAGACCGAUAGCGCACAAGUAGAGUGAUCGAAAGAUGAAAAGCACUUUGAAAAGAGGGUUAAACAGUACGUGAAAUUGUUGAAAGGGAAGCGCUUGUGACCAGACUUGCGCCGGGCUGAUCAUCCAGCGGUUUCCGCUGGUGCACUCGGCCCGGCUCAGGCCAGCGUCGGUUGUCGUGGGGGGACAAAAGCUCUGGGAAUGUGGCUCCCUCCGGGGAGUGUUAUAGCCCUAUGCAGAAUAUCCCCGCGGCGACCGAGGUCCGCGCCCUGCAAGGACGCUGGCGUAAUGGUCAUCAGCGACCCGUCUUGAAACACGGACCAAGGAGUCGAGGUUUUGCGCGAGUGUUCGGGUGGAAAGCCCCAGCGCGUAAUGAAAGUGAACGCAGGUGAGAGCUUCGGCGCAUCAUCGACCGAUCCUGAUGUUCUCGGAUGGAUUUGAGUAGGAGCGUAAAGCCUCGGACCCGAAAGAUGGUGAACUAUGCCUGUAUAGGGUGAAGCCAGAGGAAACUCUGGUGGAGGCUCGCAGCGGUUCUGACGUGCAAAUCGAUCGUCAAAUAUGGGCAUGGGGGCGAAAGACUAAUCGAACCAUCUAGUAGCUGGUUACCGCCGA
rnacentral:rRNA from 1 species